AUGCACGCUGGCGGCGUGCUUAACACAUGCAAGUCGAACGGAAAGGCCCAAGCUUGCUUGGGUACUCGAGUGGCGAACGGGUGAGUAACACGUGGGUGAUCUGCCCUGCACUUCGGGAUAAGCCUGGGAAACUGGGUCUAAUACCGGAUAGGACCACUUCUUGGAUGUUGUGGUGGAAAGUUUUCUCGGUGUGGGAUGAGCUCGCGGCCUAUCAGCUUGUUGGUGGGGUAAUGGCCUACCAAGGCGUCGACGGGUAGCCGGCCUGAGAGGGUGUACGGCCACAUUGGGACUGAGAUACGGCCCAGACUCCUACGGGAGGCAGCAGUGGGGAAUAUUGCACAAUGGGCGCAAGCCUGAUGCAGCGACGCCGCGUGGGGGAUGACGGCCUUCGGGUUGUAAACUCCUUUCGCUAGGGACGAAGCGUUUUUGUGACGGUACCUGGAGAAGAAGCACCGGCUAACUACGUG
rnacentral:rRNA from 1 species